UUUUCAUCGACCCGUCUUGUAACACGGACCAAGGAGUCUGGCAGGUCUGCGAGUCAGUGUGCGGCGAGCCACACGGGCGUAAGAAACCUGACCAGGGGUUGGACACAUGGACCAUGCCGAACUGAGGCACGGUCCAUGUGUCCAACCUUGACCGGUCGCCCUAUACGCGGAGCCUUAUUACCGCUGAUGCAUCCCGGUAUAGCCAUACCGGGCUCGCUGCGGAAGUGCGCAGUCAUGCGUUUGAGAGCUUCGCGUCUGAGCGAUCCGGUGGAGCAGGCCUCCCAGGACCCGAAAGGUGGUGAUCUAGGCCUGGGCAGGGCGAAGCCUGGCUAACGCUUGGUGGAGGCCCGAAGGAGUGCUGACGUGCAAAUCGCUUCUCUGACCUGGGCCUAGUGGCGAAAGACCAAUCGAACCACCUAGUAGCUGGUUCCCUCCGAAGUUUCUCACAGGAUAGCUGAGACUCGAUCGGGUGUGUCAAGUAAAGCGACUGAUUACGAGUGACGGGCGUGGAUAGAUGUUCGACUCGUUCUCAAACUCUGAAUUGGCACGGCGCCUCCUUGCUUGGAUGAAGGGGUAAGCGCGACCGAGAGUCUCAAGUGGGCCAGUUUUGGUAAGCAGAGCUGGCGAUGCGGGAUGAACCGAGUGUCGAGUUAAAGUGUCCAACUACACGCUCACCUAGAUCCCAGGAAGGGUGUCAGCUGAUACUGACAGCGGGGCGGUGGUCAUAGAAGUCGAAAUCCGCUAAGGAGUGAGUAACAACUCACCUGCCGAAUC
rnacentral:rRNA from 1 species